rnacentral:lncRNA from 1 species
CAAAUGCCCCACAGAUGAGGGAGAGACUUUUCCGCCUCUCUCUUGCUGAAAUAGUUUGUCGCACCUGGACCAUUGGCCAUUGUCACGGCUCGGCCGCAGCAGCGCGGGCACGGCGCUACAAGAAAUCUUUGCAUUGCUAUUGGGAUCAGAGGUCACCGCUGCAGGGGACCAGGGCUGGUUUAUUAAACAGACAAGUCUGUUUAAGGUGUAAUUCCUCAGGAAGAGCAGUGUGCUUGUGGCCAUUUAAACGAGUUAACGGAGCGUGCCCGUUCAAGUCCGUCUGUGCUUUUCCCCAGGCACAAACCCCAGCUCGACGGGCGGGCGCCCAGGGUUGCUGUCGGCCGAGUCGCUCAGCCCCGCAGGUCCGUGACCUCUGGCUCCUGCCCAUGUCACAUCCCCGUCCUCCGGGUGGAAACUGCGGAAGAAAGUGCAGGAUACGCCUCGGUUUCGCUGACACCGCUCCAGCCGCGCUGGCUCCCGCACUGCUAUUUCUGCUGCAGCUUCCUGUCCUUGACCCAGCGAUACAUUGUGAAGUUCUCCUGAGUCAAUGAAUCCUGGUAAAAUGCAGUAAAGGAUUUAAGGUUAUCGUCUGUCUCUCUCUAACUUCUGACAUCUCUUUAUAACAAGAAAGAGUCACAGCAAACUGUAACAGGAGGGCAACACAAUGAAUUCUGGUAAGGCAGGAAAGGGGGGAGGUUCAACUUUGCUGCCCCUUUGCCCCUAUUUCUUCCUCACAGAACAGAAGUGCCAUCUGUUACUAGUCCUAACAUGCAUACAUUUGAUUUCCAUUCAG